UCCACGCCCUAAACGAUGAAUGCUAGUCGUCGGGACUCUUGUAGUUUCGGUGAUGCACUUAACAGAUUAAGCAUUCCGCCUGGGGAGUACGGUCGCAAGAUUAAAACUCAAAGGAAUAGACGGGGACCCGCACAAGUGGUGGAGCAUGUGGUUUAAUUCGAAGAUACGCGAAGAACCUUACCUAGCCUUGACAUUGAUUGAAUUUUCCAGAGAUGGAGAAGUGCCUUUCGGGG
rnacentral:rRNA from 1 species